UACGGGGGGGGCAAGCGUUGUUCGGAAUUACUGGGCGUAAAGGGCUCGUAGGCGGCCAACUAAGUCAGACGUGAAAUCCCUCGGCUUAACCUGGGAACUGCGUCGGAUACUGGAUGGCUUGAAUUCGGGAGAGGGAUGCAGAAUUCCAGGUGUAGCGGUGAAAUGCGUAGAUAUCUGGAGGAAUACCGGUGGCGAAGGCGGCAUCCUGGACUGACAUUGACGCUGAGGAGCGAAAGCUAGGGGAGCAAACGGG
rnacentral:rRNA from 1 species